rnacentral:tRNA from 1 species
GCCUGGCUGGCUCAGUUGGUAGAGUAGGCGACUCUUGAUCUCAGGGUUUGGGUUCAGGCCCCAUGUUGGGUA